UGGCGGACGGGUGAGUAGUGUCUGGGAAACUGCCUGAUGGAGGGGGAUAACUACUGGAAACGGUAGCUAAUACCGCAUAACGUCGCAAGACCAAAGAGGGGGACCUUGGGCCUCUUGCCAUCGGAUGUGCCCAGAUGGGAUUAGCUAGUAGGUGGGGUAAAGGCUCACCUAGGCGACGAUCCCUAGCUGGUCUGAGAGGAUGACCAGCCACACUGGAACUGAGACACGGUCCAG
rnacentral:rRNA from 1 species